CUUGUUGCAGCAGGGUUUUUUUCUCCAGAAAGGAAAAGAGAAGAACAUAAAACCAAAAUGUAGCAAUGCUUGUAUUGGAGCACUCCAGAGGUCUAUUUAACCCAAGAUGUCAGCAAGAAGAUGAGCAAUAGUGAAUGGAGAUGAUAAAAAAUCUGAAUUUUUCAAUUUUAUGAAUAGAAGAUUAAUUAUAUUGGGAAAAAAGUACAGCUUUCUGUAAUGCAUUCAAGGGAAAAAAAA
rnacentral:lncRNA from 1 species